rnacentral:rRNA from 1 species
GAACGCGAAGAACCUUACCUGGUCUUGACAUCCCUAUGAAUAACGGGCAAUGCCGUUAGUACUUCGGUACAUAGGAGACAGGUGGUGCAUGGUUGUCGUCAGCUCGUGUCGUGAGAUGUUGGGUUAAGUCCCGCAACGAGCGCAACCCUUAUCUUUAGUAGCCAGCAGUAAGAUGGGCACUCUAGAGAGACUGCCGGGGAUAACCCGGAGGAAGGUGGGGAUGACGUCAAAUCAUCAUGCCCCUUAUGACCAGGGCUACACACGUGCUACAAUGGCGUAAACAAAGAGAAGCGAAGUCGUGAGGCAGAGCGAAUCUCAAAAAUAACGUCUCAGUUCGGAUUGUAGUCUGCAACUCGACUACAUGAAGCUGGAAUCGCUAGUAAUCGCAGAUCAGAAUGCUGCGGUGAAUACGUUCCCGGGUCUUGUACACACCGA